AUUCCCCUCACUCUCUCCCUGGUUCUUUUUUUUCUGACUGUACCCUCUAUCCCUGGUCAGACCUAGGGCAAGGGAAUCGGCCCGGUCUCCAGUCCAGCCCUGGGAGAAGCCAGCAUGAGAUGUGACUCCUUCAUACACCAACCCUGGGUGAAGCCUGCCGCCCCUCAGCAGCCUCCCCUGUCUCUAGAAGCUGGCUCACCUCUUCAGCAAACCCAUGACAAUGAGACUAGCCACCACAUUUAUGAACCUACUGUGUGCUGGGUAUUGUGUCUUUUCCAGCUCCGGAGUCUACUUCCUUUUUCAUCUAAGGAAACACGUAUCAGAUCUGGAACAUAGGACAGCUUGGAUGUAAUGGCAGCCGGAUGGUACCGUGAAAGCAAAAAAAUAAAAGUCAAGAUAGAAACUAUUAUCCCAGAAUGGCAUGCUGAAGAGGCACUGGCAACGAUAAGGACACAGCUCUUCUGCCAGGACCAAAUUUCCAACUACCCCUGCAGGAUCUGCUGGCCUUCGUUGGAAACAAAUAAACAAACAUAAGCCAACUCGCCCUCAUUUGUUUCCAUCAGCUCAAUAAAAU